rnacentral:lncRNA from 1 species
UGAGCAUAUUAAGCUCACCUUAUUUAUUAUUCAUUUCUUCCAGAUCAGAAUAUUCAAAACUCCGCUCCUGAACAGUAAAAGACUUGUUACAAGAUCGUUUAAUUUUUAUUUUAAUUUGAACAGUACUUAAUGUUAAUUAUUUUAUUUUUAGUGAGUAUUUAUUUUAGAGUUUAGACAUGUCUCAUAGAUAUUGGAUAUUUUGAGCUAAGUAUGCAAGAAAUGUACUUUUUAUUAUUUUAAAAUUUGCUACAUGAAGUAUUCCUAUAGAUUAUUUUAUCAUGAUAUGGUGUGCGUAUGGUGAAGACUCUAGAUGUGAGUUCGGACUGUCACAAUUGGUAUCAGAG